AAUAUAUUCAUAGUGAAUAUGGAUAAUAUAUUGACGUAUGCAAUUAAUGUUUGUACGCAAAAUAAAUUUUAUUUGUCAAAGGAGGAGCAGUUGGAAUCCUAACAGUUAUAUUCUGUUAUUCGAACUAACAAGAAGAGAUGGAAGGGACCUGUUCAGAUAAACGAGUUCUGCUGUACUGCCCUUCUCCGUAGUUAACCGGAAUAGAUUUGAAGAGAGGAGAGACAGAGAGAGGGGAAGAGAGAGAUACCCACUAUUUCCAAGGAACGUAGUUUGAGCGGAAACGGAAGCCCUAAAAUACAGAUGUAGAAUUAUGGGAACCGAUAGGAUAUCCAUAAAAUAUCAUUAACCAGCACGGUUAUUGGAAGCGUGAACGCAGCAGUAAUUAUAACCAGGAAUCACGAGAAUGUAAUGGGAACAGACAAUAACCAUGAGAGACUAUUAAUGUAUUCUACUUAACAAAGUCUGAAUUGGGUUCUACUGAACGCAUCUUGUCACGAACUUAAGUCCUACCGCGAAUUCGUGACGUGGAAAUCAAAUUUUGAUACGUUGAUUGCUAUGUUUGCACAAAACCACCAAAAAGUUAGAUAACUUAACUAGUAUCUAGUAUUCUAUUCUACAAAUCUUGAUCAUAAAACAUACUUUAUGUCUUCUGUAAAAAUAGAUAUUCUUAUUACCAUCAAAUGAAAUUGAGAGAAGUGUGCGUUUUUUGAUAUAUUCACUUUGAUAUCGUUCGGUAGACGUAUCGACGUUAUUUUUUCUAACAUACUUUUCAAUAAUCUAGCGUGUGUUAGAUAUUAUAUUAACAAGUAUAUCAUACUUAAUCACUGAAGAAUACAUUAAGCAGUCACUUCUCACGAAAUUAGAAUAUAUAUAGUUUGUCUGAUUAAUUAUUCGUCCAUACGAAACAUUGUGCGUGGCCAUUUAAACUCGUUCCACAAACAAGCAAUCGUUCAAACAAGAAUCCCUUUAAUCAAGGAAAACUAGCGCAGUCCCCGAAGUAAAACUUUCACGCGCGGUACGUUUAAUUGUGCAUCUUUUCAUUUCAACUGUCCUUCCGACCACGUAAUCUUCGUCAAGUAACUCCGAUGAAACGUUAACACACGGCUCUUCAAGCUAUCUUCUCAUACCAUGUCUCGCGAGUGCUACUCUGUAGUUUCUGGCUGGAUGGGUCGUUUAUACGAUUCGGAGUCGCGGAUAAAAGACGAAUCGAACUGGUAGAGGGUUAAAGGAAGCGAAAAGGGAAAGAUAAGGCGAACAGAUUGUCUGACGAAACGAGGAGAAAAAGGCAAGACUAAUUGCGCCCAUGCUGGCUGUUGCCCAACUGCUCUCGCUGCGGAAUGUUUCUAUUCAGCGUCUCUUCGUGUGUCAAUGAGGAAACACUUGUAUCAAGAAGUGUGAUGUACACUGGAUGUUAAAAGCAAGCAUAUGUCUGAGAGUUUAACGUUCUGUCAGCUGUAUGUAACUUUCCUAGGUAUCGAACAAGCUUGAGCAAAUUGAGUUUGAAAUAAAAAUAAG